UCUCCGUAGGUGAACCUGCGGAGGGAUCAUUACCGAGUGAGGGCCUCCGGGCUCGACCUCCCACCCUUUGACAAACGUCCGGUUUGCCUCGGGGGUGACCCGGACCUCGAAACGUCCGGGUGACCCCCGGAGGGAUACCUACUCUGCAUUUUGGCGUCGGAGUCAUCAAGCAAAUUGAAUGAAAACUUUCAACAACGGAUCUCUUGGUUCUGGCAUCGAUGAAGAACGCAGC
rnacentral:misc_RNA from 1 species